CUCAUUUUUGUUCUUGGAUUUAUGCCGUCUGCCAUGUGUGUUUCUUGCCUCAAUUCAACCGCUAGUUACCUUGUGAUUUCCCCAUAUGUGUGUGUCUGCCUCCUCCUGACUAUCUCACCUGGCCAGGAAGACGUUCAACAUCUGGAGAGGACCCAAGUACACCGUGAUAAAAGCCUCUGAGGACACUGUGAACACAAGAGUGUGGACAUGGCUGGAUGUCGUUGGUUCUGCGAGGAGAGAGAGGGAAAGAGAGGAGGCAAGCAUGUAAUCCCAGUCAUUAGUGGGCUUAAAAAGGAUUUGGUGGAGCUACAAUAAUGGAGACUCCAGUGGCCUCCACUGCAAGACCCAAAGAGACCCAACAGGGAGGAGCGCCAUCCACAGAGGUACAACUGUUUUAGUUGACUCAACUGAGAGAAAGUAAUCUGGAUUUUUGAGUGAAGCUGUCUGUCUCUGUGUGACUGCAAAUGGCAACCACAAAAUUUAGUCCUUUUGCUCUUGGUCUCACACGGAUCUCACACACACAUUCUUGCUCUGAUUCCCAUGCUUCCCAGCCCCAUAGAGGGGUGUAAACACAGUGCGGCUGGUGUUGCCAUGGCGAAGCCUGCUUGCAGCCCAAGAAUGGCGACUAUGCUCUGCAUGUGGAGGGGCAGAGGACAUGAAUGCAAGGCAGCGUAUACAGUAACACAUUCAGACAUACCCUCAUGAUGCUGAUUAAAACUGAGCUGGACAGAAUUUCAAAUUUAUAAAACAUUUGUUUUGCUUGUAUGGACUAGUCAAACUACAAUCAAACUACAGUUUCUUUAAGACGGUCUAAUCAUAAAAACAAAAUAAACUGAGUUCUUAGUUCAGUUUUUUCCAGAGUCUUUUGUGUUGCUUUUGUAAACCCAGUAUUGUGUUUUGUCUCGUCAUGUGAGCUAACUAUGAUGUUUUACCAACAUAACAAAAUCUGGCGCACUACCUAGAAGUGGAGAUCAUUGAAACUCAUUCACAAUUUUCUUCAUAUUUAAUAAUCUAAUAAAAAGGUGAAUAGCUAAAUAAGCCCUGAAUAAGUCACUGCUGCAUCACAGAGCCACCACAAAGACGAACUAGAGAAAGCCAUGUACGUUCACAUAAAUUACUCCAACUAUCAACUUAACUCAGCAGUUAACUUAAGAAGUCUGAACUGCUUAAGGAGACCAGAAAAUUACAGCAAAGCCUUUGUUCUGUGUGCAGUAAAUACAUAUUUAAAAAAGCAGUUACCACACACUUAUCUUCAAACGAUCUAAAUUUGUUUGAAAGCAUUUGCUACCAACAAGCCGCCUCUUAUUUUGUUUCGUGCAAUUCAACAUUUGCUUUUAAUAACUGGCUAAACCAACAAUAAAAAUAAUUUCAGGCACAGCUUUGUGUUAAGUAAGGCGUCAUAGGGUUUGGCUAUUGUGACCAGACAAGCCAACUAAAUCAAGGAGUUUCAACUGGCCUCCUUUAAACAGAAAAUUGGACUUUCUCAGGAAUGUAUUACUUCUGAGAUGUUUGAACAUGUUUUUAUGACUACUUAAUUGGAACUGGCUUUAAUCAAAUUGCUUUACAAGCAAGAGACCAGUCACUCUGACAGUACUGCCGUAUUUGCAGGUGCACACGGGUUCAGGCCCAUGCAUAGAUAUUUUCUGGCAAAAGUAAAAUCAUAAAUAUUCCUUUGAACUUUGAUAAAUUCCCUCUGAAUGCAGCACAUAGUGUACCCUUCUCUUGAAAUAUGGACCUCUGGGACAGAAAUCAUACAGCUCUCCUCUCCGUGUACAGUAUAUUGCUUUGAUUAAACAUGACUCUGCUACUAAAAUACACACGCUGGAAGAUAAACGAGAACCACCAAGAUCAGAGUUUUAUGCUCCUCACCAAAUAUUAUUUAGCUGAUCCAUUCAGGAAAAACAGAAUUAAACAGCAGCACAGAACGUUAAAUGUGCCUGUUGUGCCAUCCUAUAGAAGAUGUGGCUUUUGCAAAAGAACCUAAGAAACAACUUUUAUGCACCAUCUGAGUUACGAAAUAAUGACACCAUUUUGACCUACGCAGUUUGGCAAAACAUUGUGCAGGAAAAUUUGAUUUUAUUUGUUGUUCUGCAUUUUAAUGAAACAAUAUACAUCUGAGGGUUUUGGGGACUUUAUCAAGCAUGAAAUGUAAAUACUUAAUGUUUAAGUUUACAUUUGGCAAAGAUACAAAAAAAAAACAAGAAAUUACAUAAAC